GCCUACGGUCAGGGCACGGUGUCCUUUCACAAGAUGAGGGUCACCUUUAACUGGUACAUUAUCCAGCCAAGAUUUCAUGCCAGGCUGAGGGGGGGGGCAUCGGACGUCACCGUGAGGGCAGCGCACCACGCCGUGGCCAGGAGAUGGCGUCGAGGAAGAGAGGCACGAGAAGGAAGAGAGGAGAAAGCAGGAGGGAGACGCCUGGCUCAGCGGCGGGACACGCGCCACAAUCGAUGCCCUCGCAGACGAGCGGGCCGCCCUUGGCCGUGAGGACAUGGUCAUUGUGAAACCGAAGCAGAUGGAUGUGAACAAAGCAGGCGAGAGCACCGCCCCACCCCCCCCGGUCGCCGCGGUAUCACCGCUAGCCAGGCCCCCGUAAUCUCCCUCAGCCUUCAGAGCGGCGAUGAAUGACCCCGGCAGCAUGGACCGGCUCCCUUAUCGCAGCCUCUGCAGGCUGUCCACUCGCCGCUCUCCCCGGCAUCUUUCGGGCGCCGCUGCCCCGCUCCCCCCACGCCCCCGGCGGCCAGUGGACUUCC